UACGUAGGGUGCAAGCGUUAAUCGGAAUUACUGGGCGUAAAGCGUGCGCAGGCGGUUUUGUAAGUCUGUCGUGAAAUCCCCGGGCUCAACCUGGGAAUUGCGAUGGAGACUGCAAGGCUAGAAUCUGGCAGAGGGGGUAGAAUUCCACGUGUAGCAGUGAAAUGCGUAGAGAUGUGGAGGAACACCGAUGGCGAAGGCAGCCCCUGGGUCAAGAUUGACGCUCAUGCACGAAAGCGUGGGAGCAAACAGG
rnacentral:rRNA from 1 species